UCAUCACAACCUAACAUAAUGACAUAAUUGGCGGGGAGCGAGCGAGGGGGCCGCGGCGGGACGCAUGCGCGCGUUUGGCGGCCAAGGUCGAGGCCGCGAUUCCGCCGCGCGCCGCCGCGCCGGCCGGUGUCGAGCUAACGCCAUUUUGAAAUAUCAAAAAGGCUAAAAUACGCAAAAACGACGCGAGUGCAUCUCUAACUACUAACUAUGGACGCAGAAAGAUUAUACAAAUGAGAAGAGACCUGGGUUUAGUCUGCAUUCCUGCAAGUUACACAAAAGAAGAGAAUUGUAAUUAUAGGUCCGAGGUCCUUCGUUCUUGCGGGAAGCAGGCACGUUGCACGAGGCAGGAUAUCCUUAGUUUGUGCGCUCUGACCGCCGUAAUUGAAGACGAAACUGGUAGAUUUCUUCCAUCGGGCGUUUAAGCAUGCGGUUAUCGACGUGAAUGGCAAGAUGUAGGUGGUUCAAAAACCG
rnacentral:misc_RNA from 1 species